rnacentral:rRNA from 1 species
AACGAACGCUGGCGGUAUGCUUAACACAUGCAAGUCGAACGAACAUUAUAGUUAGUGGCAAACGGGUGAGUAACGCGUGGGAAUCUACCCAUCAGUACGGAACAACGUUUGGAAACAAAUGCUAAUACCGUAUAUUCUCGAGAGAGGAAAGAUUUAUCGCUGAUGGAUGAGCCCGCGUAAGAUUAGGUAGUUGGUGAGGUAAUGGCUCACCAAGCCGACGAUCUUUAGCUGGUCUGAGAGGAUGAUCAGCCACACUGGGACUGAGACACGGCCCAG